CCUGUGCUGGGGACACGCUAGCAGAGCUGCCUGCCAGUCCCGCGCCCGCACGCCCACACCCCUCAGUCCUUGGGCAGUGGAUGGGACCGGGCGCCUAGGAGCAGGGGGCGGCGCCCGUAGGGUAGGGUCGGGCUGGCGGGAGCCCGGGGCGGGGCUUGGGCAUGGCUGGCUGCAAGUCCCCAGCCCUGCCCCACGGGGAGGCGGCUGAGGCCCAGCAAGAAUUCAAGCUCCGCGGGGGCAGGCCAGCAGUGCUGGGGGACCCGGCACACCCUCCGCAGCUGCUGGCCCGGGUGCUAAACCCCUCACUGCCCGGGCAGGCGGUGCCGGCCGGCUGCUCUCAGUGCGGGACCUCGGAGCCUGCGCCCACCCGGAACUAGCCGCGUUCAGCCCUGGUUCCCGCCCCCGCCUCUCCCGCCACACCUCUCCACAAGCAGAGGGAGCUGGCUUCAGCCUCAGCCAGCACAGAGAGGGGCCCCCACAGCGCAGUGGCGGGCUGAAGGGCUCCUUGAGCAUGGCCAGAGUGGACGCUAAGGCUGAGGAGGCGCCGAGAGCCAGUGAGGGCUGCUAGCACGUUGUCACCUCUCAAUACAUAAAACUACUGGAGGGUGGUUCCAAGAUGGCCAAAUAGGAACAGCUCCAGUCUACAGCUCCCAGCAUGAGCGAUGCAGAAGACGAAUGAUUUCUGCAUUUCCAACUGAGUAGAGAGCUGACUUUAGAGGGAUCAAGAAUAGCUUGCUGGAUGGAAGGAGCUCUCCCUCCCAUACUCCAAUUGAAGAGACCACAUGUUGACAUGGUGGAACCACCUGAUAGAAGCACCUGAAUCACCACUGGAAGAAUAGCUGUUCUGGAGAGCCCUUCAAAACCUAAAUUGGACUCUGCAUAAGCAAGAAAUCAAUUUUCAAAUGUCAUCUUUAGGAGCUGGCAUGAAUUGCUGUGUUUCAGAACAGUCCACGUAGAGGAAUGAGGAGAAGAGGAUUCAUCCAUUAGCUUCCAUCUCCCAUUGGUGAAAGCUUGCCCUGCAACUCCUCCACACUUCUGGGUUGUAUGACCUGUCCUGCUACAGCCACUGUGGAAAUCUGAACCCAUGUUAGUAGCCACCUCCUCAGCAUGACCUGCAGCUUAUGGGGCAUGGAGCAAGUAGGAGCAAGCCAAGCGCCCUGUGGGCUAGACCUCUGGCACACUGCAGAACCAGCAUGAACCAGGGCAGAUAGUGAACACCGAGAGGGUCCCAUGGUACUGCCCACCAUAGAGACUAAAACAGAGCCUUUGGCAAGAGGCAGGAGGCUCUAGGCAUGAGGUGUUUUCAGUCAUAGCCACACAUUACCUCAGAUUCCAGGAGCAGCUGCUGCAGCAGACCCAGCUAGCCCAGCCUGCAGAUUGUCACCAUGAAGACAGAGAUGAUCCUUCCUCCAGUGAAGAGCAAAACUUCUUUGUGGCCUAUAUGACUGCUUGGUGCUGGGCAAGCUUCCUGAAGAGUCAUCAGCAGCUGGAGACCAUGGCUGAGUAAAUCCAGGGUGGGGGCAGGGCAUAAGCUGGGUCCAGUGCAUCAUCCAUCCUUUCUAGAUCUUGGCUUCUUUUUGAAUAAUGAGCAGUAGCAAUUGCUAUUUCCUCUUCUUUGCCAUUCCAAGCUUCCCUCUACAACAUCCUCUCUUUCCAGCUGUGCAGCAGGCACAGCUCUAAGUCCAUGUGCUUGGGGUCUCUUACCCUUGGAAUUGCCUCCUUUGCCGGGCUUUCUAAGUUGUCUUACUGCUACUUUUCAAGGAUCUUAAAAAUCCAUCGUCUUGUAUGAAGGCUUCUCUGGCUGAAUGGGCAUUAUUCUGGCAUAUUCCUCACCUUCCAAAUAAAAUUUAUGAGCAUGUUAUUUAGGUUCUAACAGCUUUAUCUGUUUUUGGUCCUGGCAAUGACUGUAUUUGGAAUGCUCUUUUUAAAUACUGUGGCUACUGAGAUCUCAUUGAGGGCAAAGAAUGGUUAAAAUAUCACUUAAAACAGGCAGUCAACUUCUCUACGUAGGAGAUACCACAACUUUUGGCUGUAGACAGUGAGGAGGUAGGAAUACUGCUGGUUGCUACUAUUUUUCUUCUUUCUUUUUGCUAUUGUUCAUUAACAUCCCCUUAUUUCCUCUGAUUGUCUCACAAAGAGGGUAGUCUUUCUGCUUAAUCCUAUGGCUUGAGUCUCCUUAAUAAGGCAACAAGCUGCCCUGCAACAGAGAAAUGAAAUGCCUCACUCUUCCCCACCUCAAUUCCAUGGGGACUGGGACUCGAUAGGUCAGGGUUGAAGUUUGGGUCUUGGGGACCAGAGCUGGGUAGGGAGGGGAGGAAGUUACCAUAUGAGUGUCCCAGCAUGGAAAAAGUCAAAGGAUUAUUCUGAUCCACUGUCUUUAGGGAACAUGGAGGCUUAAAACCAGCAUAUGAAAAUACUGCCAUUAAACUGAAGGGGCCACCUUCAGGUUGGCUGAUGAGAGGCAAAGUCAAGAGUUAGGAGCUGGGUGAAACCAGAAGGAUGUGAGAUCAGGAGCAAUAGGAGAAUGUUUUGGACAACUGCAAGAAUGAAGCUGGAGCUUGGGACCUGCCUUUAAUGGCCAUCAGCCAGGUGUAGUGAAAUAGAUGAAAAGCACAAUAUUGGGGUAGAUCAGAUGUAUGACCAGGACUGCACAUGUGGAAAGAGACUUUUAACAAGGGACACACCCAUUUUUGUAUCUCUAGCUGCUCGCAAGCACUGAACUACACAUCGAUGGGAAAUAAACAUAUGUAGAUAACCAAUUUGAUCAAAGAAAUCAGUCAGCAGCAGGUAGAAUUUGCCCUCACACCUGGGCUUUGUCUCUGCUGGCUGAUGCAUGUGUUUCACAAUUAGUAAAUGCAAAGCAGCAUUUCCCACUCCACACACACAUACACCUUAGCCUGUUCUUGCCAUAAGCAAAAGGCCAACGCGUCCUUAUUUCACACUCAGUUUUGGAGUAGUUUGUGUUCCCUUGGGUAAGAAACUGCCUCUUCUUGUUUUCAAUAUGGUGACUUUUCAGCUUAUAGCCUGGGUAGGGAUGUGAUAUUUGGUUAAUGCCAAAUUUGCUCUGCACGUUGCUGGCUUUAAUAUUUAUGUCCUGGAAAAUGCAGCUCUCCCCAUGGUUUGGAUAUUUUACAUCUACACAUUAUAUUGAGAAAGCCAGAGUUGAGGCUCAUGGAAAAAAAUAGCUAAAUUGAUGACUAAUUUUACAUCAGAAGCUUUUUCAACCAGAGAAACAGUAUGCUACAAGAGUAAGCAGGGCCGCCCCACCCCUGAUCCCCUGCCCUCUGCCUGGAGAGAGGAGAUUCUCAAGUGUCUCUUUGAGAGAGGGUGGAGGAACCACUGAGCAGAGCCCAGCUGUGUGGACCCACACAGCAGAUGGUUCAGUUGAAACACAGGAGGCUGGAAGUUACUGUUCACUGGGCACUACUGACCAAGGCCCUUGCAUAACGCAGCCACUUGUUAUGCUGAAGAGGAUUGUUUAGAAGGAAAAUGGGCUGGUUUUUCUUGCUUCACAUAUCCUUACUGGAAGGUCAUGACCGAUCUUUCUUACUGCCCACACUUUUAUUUACACACCAUAAGGAAUAAUUUCCAUCUCACUCUCCCCACUCCUUUGCCAGAACAUAUAGAAAUGUCUGUGUUCAAAAGGCUCUUGUUUUCUUGGCUGAAUAUCAAGAUUUUUUCCAGAUUGUCAACUCCUUAAGAGGGGAGAAGCAUAAAAUCCAGCUGUAGAAACCAAGAAGUGACCUAACAUGAUCCAGGUGUUUCCAGUUUUCUUAGGAAAGAAGGCGAGUAUGUAUGUCAUGUCUGAUGGGCCAUGUCUAGAGGAUACUGCCCGAUCACAUUAGGUUGCUGAUCACAGUUGUUGAUGGUGGGUUGUGGGUGAGUCCACUGUGUGUAACAGCUAUAUCUGAUUUAUCAAAAUUGGUUUUGUAGUGGUAUUCUGAAAGUUCGUGACCUUAUUCAAUGCACAUAAAAAAGGAUUUAAAAGCAGUAAAAUUGUAAAAACAACAUGGUGGUAUGUAAAUGCAGGGAAAAGGCAGAGGAGAAACGGGCUUUAACUUUAGUUCUGCCACUUGCCAGCCAUGUUUCUGUGGAUAAGUCUUCAAUCUCUUUGAUCCUCAUGUUAAAAAUCCAUAAAAUGGAUAAAAUGUCUGCCCUUAAUGCCCCAUUAUAAAAUUAAAGUAUUGUAUUGGGGACAGAUUUAUUUAUACAAAUAACUUGGACAAAGCUAUGUAGAUAAAUGUACAUUUAGUGGUCUGCCAGCUUACCUGUUAAGUCAGUAGUAACAUUCCGAGCCACCAUCCAUCAACUGCAUAUGGUCUACUAUAUUUUUACAUUCCAUUUUUUAAUGAAUUAAAAUUGAACAAGUCUGGCCGAAUAAACUAAUUUCCCAGAAUGAAUACCAUGCCACCUGCCAAAAUCUUCCUCAUCCACCCUGUCACCUACUUCUCAAAGCAUUCUUAGGUCUUCUAAUCUGUAAUGACUCUAUUAACUCCUGUGCCUUCCUAGCAUGGGUCAUGUCUGUGUCAGCUCUUACGGGAGGUUAGCGACUAUGUAUGAUGGUCAUCCGGGAGCAUGUCUGUCUUCCCCUGCAGAGAGGAGCCUAGUCUUAGUUGGCUUUGGGCCUGCGCACCUUACCUUGUAGAGUGCCAUGCAUGUAGGUACACAGAAAUGCUUUUUAAAUUGAAUUACUAUUUUUCUUCAGUAGACUAUACACGGGAGGGAAAAAAAUGGUGGUGGCUUCUGAAGGGCAUCUGGUGUUAAUAGAUGAUGUCACAGAAAAAAAUCAGAGCAAAGAUCAGAGAGCUGGAUGGCUGUACAUGCUUUGCCACUUCAUGGCUCUAUAUAUAAAUCCUUUUUUAUAUAUAAUAGAUGAUGUCACAGAAAAAAAUCAGAGCAAAGAUCAGAGAGCUGGACGGCCGUACAUGCUUUGCCACUGCAUGACUCUAUGUGCCUUGGAUGAGUCACUAAACUCUCCAAGCCUUUGUUCCCUUCUCUUUGUAAUGAGAGAAUGGGAUGAGUUUGACAUUAUGCUUCUUUACAGCACUAAGAUUCUAACAUCUAAGGUAAGGUGCUGAGAACAACUUCAGGUAAAUCAAGGAAUGUGUUAAAUUUUAAAAAAAUUUUUAUUUCUUUAUUAUAGAGGUAAAAUGUACAUAUAAAAUUUACCAUCUUUACCAUUUUUAAGUGUACAAUUCAGUAGUAAAAAUACAUUUAUA